GGACUACCCGGGUAUCUAAUCCCAUUCGCUCCCCUGGCUUUCGUUCCUCAGCGUCAGUUAUGGCCCAGCUAGUCGCCUACGCCACCGGUGUUCUUCCCAAUAUCUACGCAUUUCACCGCUACACUGGGAAUUCCACUAGCCUCUACCACACUCCAGUCCGCCAGUAUCCAAUGCACUCCCAGGGUUGAGCCCCGAUCUUUAACAUCAGACUUAACGAACCGCCUACGAACUCUUUACGCCCAAUAAAUCCGGACAACGCUUGCAUCCUACGUCUUACCGCGGCUGCUGGCAC
rnacentral:rRNA from 1 species